rnacentral:RNase_P_RNA from 1 species
GCGAUGAACCUGACCGCCGCGCUAUAUAGACAAUGUUGUUUAUGUAUCGAGGAAAGUCCGGGCUCCGCAGGGCAUGAUGCCGGGUAACGCCCGGGCGGGAAGAUGGGAUCGGAGGAGCAAUCCGAAGACAUCCGGUUUCCCGACAGAAAGCGCAACAGAAAGCAUACCGCCCAAGGGGCGCCGGCCGGCAAUUGCCGGCCGGCGCCUCCGGCAAGGGUGAAACGGCGGGGCAAGAGCCCGCCUCGGCCGCGGCGACGCGGCCGGAACGGCAAGCCUCAUCAGGAGCAAAGUCAAGCGGCGUGUGAAAGGGAGAACCCUUUUCACGGGUAAAGGGCGCAGGUUCUUUACCACGGAACGGCCCGUUCCGGUUAAACGCGGGUAGACUGCUGUCGACGCCGCCUGUAACGGCGGCGCGAGAUAGAUGGCGGCCCUGUUUCCCUCCGGAAACAGGGAAAAACAGAACCCGGCUUAUGGUUCAUCGCUUUU